rnacentral:tRNA from 1 species
GCUGCCAUCGUCUAGUGGACCAGGACAACGCACUUUCACUGCGCAAACGGAGGGUUCGAAGCCCCCUGGCAGCUCCA